ACAACCUAGUAUUCAAGUGGUGUUAGCAAGUGUCAACAAGCAUUUUUGGCGCCGUUGCCAGGGAAACGGUUGCUGAGUUGACUACGAACUAGCUUAAUCAUUUUCUAAAAAAUAAAAAAAUAUAUUUUCCUUUUAUCCUUUGCCUCAUCUCUGCUAUUCUUUCUUCUUAUCUAAUCGUUGAUCUCUGGUCUAUCAUGAAUACAAACAUGUCUAUCUAUCAGUUUAAUAGACCUAUGGGCACACAUCUCGAACCACCAAAAUCUUCAAAGCCUAUCGUGACAUCUAGUUUUGAGAUAAGCCCAGAAUACAUAGAAUUUCUUCAAAAACAACCUUUCUCAGGAGA
rnacentral:lncRNA from 1 species